GCUGAUGAUGGCUGUGGACAGGACAGCAUGGACAGGCUGUGCUCUACCCUCCUGCUGCUCACUCUCCCUUCCUGGGCCCUGUCCCAGAUUGCCCUGAAGGAGUCUGGACCUGGGCUGCUGCCACCCUCCCAGACCCUCAGCCUCACCUGCUCCAUCUCAGGAUUCUCUCUGAGCACUAAUGGUGUGGGUGUGAGUUGGAUCCGGCAGCCCCCAGGGAAGACCCUGGAGUGGCUGGCAAAUGUGUGGUGGGAUGAUGAUAAGUACUACAACCCAGCCCUGAAGAGCCGGCUCUCCAUCUCCAAGGACAGCUCCAACAGCCAGGUGUUCCUCACACUGGCCAGCGUGGACUCUGCAGACACAGCCACCUAUUACUGUGCUAGAGGCCACAGAGGCACAGCCGCAGGGGCCUCCUGCACAAGAUCUCAGGCUGGGCCUCAGCUCUGUGCUGGCCCCGAGCAUCAGGAAGGUACCUACUCCCAGGUCCAGCCUGUGCAAUCUGGGCCUGAGCUGAAGAAGCCUGGAGGGGCCAUGAAGAUCUCCUGCAAGGCUUCUGGAUACACCUUCACUAGCUAUGCUAUUAACUGGAUGCGACAGUAG